UACGGAGGAUGCAAGCGUUAUCCGGAAUGAUUGGGCGUAAAGCGUCCGCAGGUGGCACUUCAAGUCUGCUGUUAAAUACUAGGGCUUAACCCUGGAGCGGCAGUGGAAACUGAAGAGCUAGAGUUCGGUAGGGGUAGAGGGAAUUCCCGGUGUAGCGGUGAAAUGCGUAGAGAUUGGCAAGAACACCGGUGGCGAAAGCGCUCUGCUGGAACGAAACUGACACUCAGGGACGAAAGCUAGGGGAGCGAAUGGG
rnacentral:rRNA from 1 species